CCCGAGUUGUAAUUUGUAGAGGAUGCUUUUGGCAAGGUGCCUUCCGAGUUCCCUGGAACGGGACGCCAUAGAGGGUGAGAGCCCCGUCUGGUUGGACACCGAGCCUCUGUAAAGCUCCUUCGACGAGUCGAGUAGUUUGGGAAUGCUGCUCUAAAUGGGAGGUAUAUGUCUUCUAAAGCUAAAUACUGGCCAGAGACCGAUAGCGCACAAGUAGAGUGAUCGAAAGAUGAAAAGCACUUUGAAAAGAGAGUUAAAAAGCACGUGAAAUUGUUGAAAGGGAAGCGCUUAUGACCAGACUUGGGCUUGGUUGAUCAUCCGGCGUUCUCGCCGGUGCACUCUUCCAGUUCAGGCCAGCAUCAGUUUGCCUCGGGGGAUAAAAGUAGCGGGAAUGUGGCUCCUCCGGGAGUGUUAUAGCCCGCUGCAUAAUACCCUGUGGCA
rnacentral:rRNA from 1 species